UGCAGAUGGCAGGUGACCGAUCCGGCUUUGGCCGGAUAGGAAAGUCCGAACACCGUAUGGCAAUCAGCCCUGUGAAAACGGGGGAGUUUCCGUUCAAGCGGAGACGACAGAGAGUGUCACAGAAAACAAACCGCUUUCUCUCUCACCAGAGGAAGUCAGGGUGAAAAGGUGGGGUAAGAGCCCACCGCCCGAAGAGUAAUCGACGGGGCAGGAUAAACCUCUGAUGGUGCAAGGCCAAAUGGGAAGCAUGUCGGCCAGGCUCGGAUUCGUAGGAAUCCAGCUUCCAGGUAGGUCGCACCCCGCGCAAGUGGGGUAUCGGAGCAAUCCGGUAAGAUAAAUGGUCACCGCCCCGGUGAAAUCGGGGAACAAAAUUCGGCUUAUCGCCACCUUGGAAGG
rnacentral:RNase_P_RNA from 1 species